CCCGUUUCAGUGGACGUUGCAAAUCAAAUUCAAAUUCAUAUAACACUUUAAUAAACAGGGUGCUGCCGGUCACGAGAGGGGCAAAAGAGAAAGAAAAAGAGAAGGCCAAGAGGUCUUCGGCCAUCCUUUUCCGGUCAGAUUUAUAUAAUUUUUCAGCUGUUUUGUUUGUUUUAUUAUUGAUGUUGAUUUUGUUUCUAUUUUGGGAGUUAUUUAUUCAGAGUUUCUUAUGAAUUUUGUCUCUGUUCGAAAGGAAGAUAUUGUUGUUAUCGACGCCGGCAUUUCGAGAUCGCGCCGCUACAUUGGCGAUCUCUAGUGUGAAGCAGUGAAGUUUAUUGCGUUGUUCUCCUUUAUGUGGUGUUAGAGUCUUCGAUCUAGUGAUGAUUCUAUAUUUAUUUUGGUGGUGGUGAUUUUGCUUAGCUUGGUGGUGGUGGUUGGAUGGUGUUUUUUCAGCCUCUUUCUCCUCUUUCCUGCAUUUUACUUUCUUGCAUUUCUUUUGUUGGCUUACAGAUUGUGUUUUCAGUUGACCUGUUAUUUCUUUGUCUUCUUCUCCAGCUGAUAAAAGUAGUGGAAAGGUAAUGCGUGGCGGCUAUCUCAUCUGGAGACACUGACAGUAGAAUGGAUCGGUGAUCAGUGGGCUCACUGCUGCUUUUCUGGAAUUGGGCUGUGGGCUUGAUUUAUGGGUUUGGGUGUGCGUUCAUGGGUUUUCAGCUUAUGAGUAUUUGGGCUUUUGAAAAUAUCUGUUUUGGCCCAUAAAGCCUUCUAAUGUAAUAUCUGCCUAAUAUAAAAAUAAUUUGUGAGAUCGAAAAUUCUAUUAUCGUAGAUAAAAUAAAUAUUCACCGACAGUAUUUUACUCCAUGACGAUUCAAUAAGAAUUAAUUGGUUUCUUUUA
rnacentral:lncRNA from 1 species